AUGAGUAAAUUAAAAUUUAAAAAGGUGCUGAUGGAAGUGGGAUGACUUUAUGUGCAGAAUGCUUAUUAGGACUAUAAACAAGAUCAGUUAUUUUCAAGAAUAGAUUGAGACACCGGCAAUUUUUAAUAGUCCAGAUUAACAAAAAUGCCUAUUUCAUGUCUUUGGGGAGAUUUAAUGCUUAUGCAUUUCUCCAGAUUUUUAGUGAAGGAUGUUUGUGUCUCUGUAAAAUUUCCCUCUACUUCUACUAUAAUUAUAUUUUCUCGAGCAUAAGUGACUUUCACUUUGCUGUUUCAGAGUCUAAGUAUCCAAUGUUUAUGUGUUGCAUCUUUUGCUGUGUAUCCCAAGAAUACCCACACACAGUGGUAUAAAGCAAAAACAUCCAUGCCUCGCAAAAAAUGAUCCAUAGGGACACUCAGACCUUGUGAAGUAAUUUGGGUGUCCUCAAGCAGAAGUGAAUUUUUUGCAGCUCGUUCUGCAGUUUCACAUAAAGGCAUCUGCAGCUGCUUUGAAGAACACGAGUCCUGCUUCAGCAAACACUGACCUCCUGUCUGUGGGGCUGAUCAUCUUUAAAUGUCCAGCUCUCUCUCUGUUGCAUAGGUCAUCUUCAAGAAGGAUGGAAGAUGUUGAUGCAGUUAUCUUAUCCUUUGCCUGUGGUCUCAUAUUCUUCUGAACAAACGCCAGGAGACAGAGCAUCUUCUUGGCACUGCAGUUUUAGGGUUAUGAAGAGACAGAGAGCCCCCAGAGCAGGAGCAGAGCCGUGCUGCAACCCAGAAGACACCUCAGUCUGAAGAGCAAGCCUGCCUUCUUGUUCAGAGAGCAUCAUGGAAUGGCCUCACCUCUGUCACACCAGAGCUGAUGACAUGUGUUACAGAAGGGAGUCAGAAUCUGCCUCUGGAAACCAGGCAUACUUAAAAACAUCCUUUUUCCUCAGAAAUUGGAUCUGCUUUCUUGCAAGAAUUUUUUUCCCCCGCUGCUUUCUGCCUUUUUGAAAGCAGAUGUUUGGCUGCUGACUGCUCCCCGAUCCCCAAUGUGGAAAGAUCCAAGCUACAUCCUAGAUCUGUUGGCUAGCUGGAGCUGAGGCUAGUCCCCAAAGCACUGGUCCUGUCCUCUGAGCAGUGAAUCAGAAUAUAAGAGUUCCUGCCAUCCAGGCUAUCUCUGGGAUGAUACUAUUUAUUAAAAAAAAAUAUUUUAAAAGUUACAUGUAGUCUCAUUUUACAGUGGCUCGAGGUCAACAAUGUAGAACCUUCUAGUUUAGGGUUCCUAAUCGACAUACAAUCCUUUAAGCCUUUAUUGGAAACACCAGAAUAGUUCUGAGGAACCUAACCUUCAGGCACCAUGGACAAGUAUUGUCUUAUGCAAGAGCUAUUUUUAAUGUAUUAAAGAUUAACAUUGAUGCAUGAAGUUAAUCAGGAAUAAACAUCCUGUGUUGAUAAAGUAAAAAUCAUUCUC